rnacentral:rRNA from 1 species
UACGUAGGGACCGAGCGUUGUCCGGAAUCAUUGGGCGUAAAGAGCGUGUAGGCGGCCACUUAAGUCCUGCGUGAAAUCUUGCGGCUCAACCGCAAGCGGUCGUGGGAAACUGGGUGGCUAGAGUGCGGGAGAGGAGAGUGGAAUUCCUGGUGUAGCGGUGGAAUGCGCAGAUAUCAGGAGGAACACCGGUGGCGAAGGCGGGUCUCUGGGCCGUAACUGACGCUGAGGAGCGAAAGCAUGGGGAGCGAACAGG